UCGACAUUUCGACUCUUUCCUCAAACUCUCACUCUCUCAGAGUCUCAGUCUCUCCAUCCUAGAAACACUGUCUCAGUCUCCACUAUCCUCUUUCCCUAACCAAAAUCCGAUUUAUUCAGUAAACUCUAGAUAAGGAUCGGCGCGUCUCCAGCCUCCCAGUUGCUCGUCCUCGUCUCGAUUGCAAAUCCUCCCUCAAAGUCUGACUCUCUCAGUCUCCUUCGAUGCGAACACAGCUGACUGAGCUGAGUGUAGUUCAGCGAACACAGUUGCAACCAGCAACCUGUCUCCGCCAGUCCACCUCUCCGGUCUCCGAGCUCCGCCUUCAGGCUCCAGAUGGGGACCGCAGCUAGACCAAGCUACUUACAAGAACUGUCAGCGUCUUUAUCUUUCCGAACAGAUUUUGGAUGGCGGUUAGUGACGUAGUGUGAACUGAUUGCAAACUGUGAAGUUGUCAAACCUAGGGUUGCAGCUGCAGAGCACAUAUCACAGUUCAAUGAAGAAGCACGCUCUCCUUUUGUAAAGAAGUAUAAAACUAUAAUACAUCCUGGAGAGGUAUUGAGAUCAAUUAAAAGAAGAUUCGGCAUUCAGGAGUGAUGGAAACGAAACUGAAAGGCCAUAUAUUGGAGCUUAGAUAAUAAAAAAUGGCCAUAUGCUGAGUGUAACUAUGAUUUGAUCUUGAUGUUAAUUUUAAAUGUUGUUGACUGGUCAGAUUACAGGAGGGACUGGUCAGAUUGUCAGAGGAAUCUUCAGAGUAACCAAGAGUUCUGAGGCUUCAGCUUCAGCCCCUACAACCAAGAAGAAAAGGCAGAAAAAAUGAUGCAGCUGCAAUUUAGUUUGCUGCAAAUUGAUUUAUUUGCUGCAAAUUGAUUUAGUUUUCAGUAUUUUAGUUUGCUGCAAAUUGAUGCAGCUGCGUUGUUUAAAUUGGACUGAGUUUAUUCACUUUAUUGUUUAGUUUUAUUUGCUGCAUGUGAGACUUUGAGUUUGCAGUUUAUGCAUGUGAAACUUUGAGUUUGUAUUGCUGGAAAUGUGUAUUAUUUCAGACUUUGAGUUUGUAGUUGUAUUGCUAGAAAGUGCUUGAGUGUUUGUGUUUGAUAGUUUGAGAGUUUUGAACUUUUGA